rnacentral:rRNA from 1 species
AGAGUUUGAUCAUGGCUCAGGAUGAACGCUGGCGGCGUGCUUAACACAUGCAAGUCGAACGAUGAUCCCAGCUUGCUGGGGGAUUAGUGGCGAACGGGUGAGUAACACGUGAGUAGCCUGCCCUUAACUCUGGGAUAAGCCUGGGAAACUGGGUCUAAUACCGGAUAUGACUCCUCAUCGCAUGGUGGGGGGUGGAAAGCUUUAUUGUGGUUUUGGAUGGACUCGCGGCCUAUCAGCUUGUUGGUGAGGUAAUGGCUCACCAAGGCGACGACGGGUAGCCGGCCUGAGAGGGUGACCGGCCACACUGGGACUGAGACACGGCCCAGACUCCUACGGGAGGCAGCAGUGGGGAAUAUUGCACAAUGGGCGCAAGCCUGAUGCAGCGACGCCGCGUGAGGGAUGACGGCCUUCGGGUUGUAAACCUCUUUCAGUAGGGAAGAAGCGAAAGUGACGGUACCUGCAGAAGAAGCGCCGGCUAACUACGUGCCAGCAGCCGCGGUA